ACCUCUCAGGCUCAGUUGGUAGAGCAUGGUGUUUGCAACGCCAGGAUUGUGGGUUCGAUUCCCAUGGGGGGCC
rnacentral:tRNA from 1 species